rnacentral:rRNA from 1 species
CAAGUCGAGCGGGCGUAGCAAUACGUCAGCGGCAGACGGGUGAGUAACGCGUGGGAACGUACCUUUUGGUUCGGAACAACACAGGGAAACUUGUGCUAAUACCGGAUAAGCCCUUACGGGGAAAGAUUUAUCGCCAAAAGAUCGGCCCGCGUCUGAUUAGCUAGUUGGUGAGGUAACGGCUCACCAAGGCGACGAUCAGUAGCUGGUCUGAGAGGAUGAUCAGCCACAUUGGGACUGAGACACGGCCCAAACUCCUACGGGAGGCAGCAGUGGGGAAUAUUGGACAAUGGGCGCAAGCCUGAUCCAGCCAUGCCGCGUGAGUGAUGAAGGCCCUAGGGUUGUAAAGCUCUUUUGUGCGGGAAGAUAAUGACGGUACCGCAAGAAUAAGCCCCGGCUAACUUCGUGCCAGCAGCCGCGGUAAUACGAAGGGGGCUAGCGUUGCUCGGAAUCACUGGGCGUAAAGGGUGCGUAGGCGGGUCUUUAAGUCAGGGGUGAAAUCCUGGAGCUCAACUCCAGAACUGCCUUUGAUACUGAGGAUCUUGAGUCCGGGAGAGGUGAGUGGAACUGCGAGUGUAGAGGUGAAAUUCGUAGAUAUUCGCAAGAACACCAGUGGCGAAGGCGGCUCACUGGCCCGGUACUGACGCUGAGGCACGAAAGCGUGGGGAGCAAACAGGAUUAGAUACCCUGGUAGUCCACGCCGUAAACGAUGAAUGCCAGCCGUUAGUGGGUUUACUCACUAGUGGCGCAGCUAACGCUUUAAGCAUUCCGCCUGGGGAGUACGGUCGCAAGAUUAAAACUCAAAGGAAUUGACGGGGGGCCCGCACAAG